UGGAUAUAUAGUCAUCUUAAUUAGUUGGAUGUUAAUCGUAAGUUUACGCCAUCUAUAUAAUAGAAACCAAAAGUUUGAAUUUUGAUGUUGAAAACUUAUAUUAUUAGCCUAUGCUUUUUGUCACGUAAAAGACUUUUCCUAAGUAAGUUUCUCCGCCGAUGAAUGUGGAUUCGUCUCUCGUUUCCAUAAUCAUCAUCACUAACCUAUAUAUCCCAUUUUCAAAAGGUCAAUCAAAACGUUAGUACUAAUUUAUAAAAAAAUAAAAUAAGUAGAAAACGACUUGACCAUAACUUUACAUGAUUACAAAUCCUUUUUACU
rnacentral:lncRNA from 1 species